CUUCUCUACGUUUGUCACUCGGCACUCAAGAUAGACGAAGGACUCGAACUAAGGAGGAGGAGGAGGAGGAGGAGGAAGAAGAAGAAAACGAAGAAGAAAAAGAAAGCACGAAGUUUCCUUCAGAGACGAUGACUCCCGGCUGGCUGGUCCUCUCGCUCCACCCUGCUAUUUCUGAUGCCUUGUCAACGACACACGCUUGAACGAACGACGAAGAAGACGAGUUAGGAAGGAGAAAGAGAAAGAACUGGUGGAGCAAGAGGAGAGAAACCCUCCGGCUCGCCGGUUUGAGAACGACGUACUCGAAACCCUGUGGUCUUCGUCGUCUUCGUCGGAUGAUUUAAGAAUCAACUUUGGCCCAACUCGACCUCCUUCUUCCACAUAAAAGUCGACACCUACGACGUUUAUUGUUCCCUACGAGCUUUCUGUUUUUUUCUUUUUAUUUCUCUCUUUUUUUUACUACCCUUCUCUUUCAAUAAAAUCAAGAAUCGAUUUUUAAAGCUUUCUUCUUUUCUUUUCUUUUCAAUUACGUUAAAAGACAAUGAAAUAUCUUUCUAAUCGAUAUAUUCUUCUAAUAAGAAAAAGAAUGCGACGAGUUCUUCUUUCUUACAAAGUAAUCGACAAGGUCUGACGUUUUUGUUCUUUCGAUAGGAUCGAACGUUCUAUUCGUGAAACUCUCGACGCUAAAAAAAAGAGAAAGGGAAAAGGAAAAAGAAAAGGAAAAAGGAAAUAGUAAAAAGAAAGGAGAGAGGAAAAAGCGAUAGGAAUUAACGCGACGUAUCGAAUAAAACGAUGAAAAUCGAAAUCCGUUGUUCGUACGUAGGCAAUACGUCCGACGAGAAUGCACCUGCCGAUAGGCAACACGCGUUACGGGUUCUCGUUCGACAUUUACAACACACGACUCGUGCGCGCUACAGUCAUCGUCAUCGGCUCCAUCGAUCGGACAUUCUCUCGUCUCUCUUCUCUCUGUUACUUUCUGCUGGGGAUGAGGUGUGUAUCACCGUGUAUGGGAGGAGUCACAAUAUAUAUCGUACCGACCGAUGAAAUAAUAAUUAGUCGAAUAAAUCGACGUUCGAAGAUAAAAUUUCAAAAAAAAAAGACAAAAUAAAAAACAAUAAAAAGUAAUAAAAAGAAUUCCAUCGUGGUGCUACCAACCAUUGGAAACAUUUAUCACGAAAAACGACACUUUCGAAUAAAAUUCUAUUUUGCGAGAUGCGUCAGCUUUCAUUUGAAUUUUCUCAAAAAGGUAGAUACGAAGGUGUUCGUCGACCCACCUACGAGAAAUGACUGAUUUUUUUACGUCGAGGAAGAUUCGAAAAAGGCAUUGGCCGACGCGUUCCGUUACGUCAGACGAAAACUCUCUGCGAGAUCUUAUGGGACGCUCUUU